GACAAGAAAUGUAUGAAUAUUAUUGUUGCAUUUUUUAAAAGGACAUAAUUUUAAUGAUAUAAGGCCUUUGAUGUAGAAUUAUGAACAUUACUUAUUCUAGUGUUUGUUUGUACCAAGAAGCAUUUGCGAAAUAUUUCUCAUAUUAUAACCAAGUUCUGUACUCUUGUACUUUAGUCUUGACUGGAGAGAACCAAUAUUUAUGCAGUUUGUGAAGGAAUAUAUAUGUUAGCAAUGUUCAAGUUCAUAUGUUAUCUUAUACACAUCUCAUUUAUAUCUGGCCAUAUACUGUUUAAAUGUAGUUCUUCAAUUUUCACAUUAUUAAAGGUUGUAUGCCAUUAAUAUUUGAUCAUGCACAUUAUUAAUUCUAUUUUUUGAUUGUUUCAGGAAGCAUUUGCCAAAAAUUGAUCAUAUUGCCAUUGAGUUCUGUGCUAUUGCAACAUCACUUUUACUGAAGACAACCAAUACUCAUGCAGUUUUUGUAGGAAGACAUAUGCUAAGUACUUUCAAGACAAGUGUCAUCUUACACACAACUCAUCUUAAUCUGGCUACACACUGUUUAAAUGCAGUUCUUCAAUUUUCACAUUAUUAAAGGUCAUAUGCCAUUAAUAUUGAAUUAUGAAUAUUAUUAUUUCUAGUGUUUGAUUGUUUCAGGAAAGAUUUGACAAAUAUUGAUUAUGAAUAUUAUUAUUUCUAGUGUUUGAUUGUUUCAGGAAAGAUUUGACAAAUAUUGAUC
rnacentral:lncRNA from 1 species